GAUGAAGAACGCAGCAAAAUGCGAUAAGUAAUGUGAAUUGCAGAAUUCAGUGAAUCAUCGAAUCUUUGAACGCACAUUGCGCCCGCUGGUAUUCCGGCGGGCAUGCCUGUUCGAGCGUCAUUUCAACCCUCAAGCCCCCGGGUUUGGUGUUGGGGAUCGGCUCUGCCCUUCUGGGCGGUGCCGCCCCCGAAAUACAUUGGCGGUCUCGCUGCAGCCUCCAUUGCGUAGUAGCUAACACCUCGCAACUGGAACGCGGCGCGUCCAUGCCGUAAAACCCCAACUUCUGAAUGUUGACCUCGGAUCAGGUAGGAAUACCCGCUGAACUUAAGCAUAUCAAUAAGCGGAGGA
rnacentral:misc_RNA from 1 species